UGCAAGAAAUACAUCAAUAAAAUUCAAUUCCCUCUCAUCAUCAUUUUCAUCAGUUUCAACAUGGCAUCCCAAUGGACCUCAUCACUCUUCCAGCCACGUUGUGGCACACGUCUGGUUCGUCCUAAGUCUACAGGUUUAUAAAUUGUGAAAAAAGUGAGGAUUUUUGAAGGAAGUUUGUAAAUUUGAUAUGACCCUGAGGUGAUGAUUUGUGGAGUUUGCACAUUGUGGAUGAAACCAAGGGCGAAGCAUUGAAGGGACCGCAGGGGGGGGAGGGGCGCAUUGUAAAUUUGAUAUGACCCUGAGGUGACGAUUUGUGGAGUUUGCACAUUGUGGAUGAAAC
rnacentral:lncRNA from 1 species